UACGAAGGGGGCUAGCGUUGCUCGGAAUCACUGGGCGUAGAGGGCGCGUAGGCGGCGUUUUAAGUCGGGGGUGAAAGCCUGUGGCUCAACCACAGAAUUGCCUUCGAUACUGGGACGCUUGAGUGUGGUAGAGGUUGGUGGAACUGCGAGUGUAGAGGUGAAAUUCGUAGAUAUUCGCAAGAACACCAGUGGCGAAGGCGGCUCACUGGCCCGGUACUGACGCUGAGGUGCGAAAGCGUGGGGAGCAAACAGG
rnacentral:rRNA from 1 species